rnacentral:rRNA from 1 species
UACGGGGGGUGCGAGCGUUGUCCGGAAUCACUGGGCGUAAAGGGCGCGUAGGUGGCCCGGUCAGUUCGUGGUGAAAGCGCGGGGCUCAACCCUGCGUCGGCCAUGAAUACUGCCGCGGCUGGAGCACUGUAGAGGCAGGCGGAAUUCCGGGUGUAGCGGUGGAAUGCGUAGAGAUCCGGAAGAACACCGGUGGCGAAGGCGGCCUGCUGGGCAGUUGCUGACACUGAGGCGCGGACAGCGUGGGGAGCAACAGG